AGCGGCGGAUGGGUGAGUAACACGUGGGGAACCUGCCCCUAAGUCUGGGAUACCAUUUGGAAACAGGUGCUAAUACCGGAUAAUAAAGCAGAUCGCAUGAUCAGCUUUUGAAAGGCGGCGUAAGCUGUCGCUAAGGGAUGGCCCCGCGGUGCAUUAGCUAGUUGGUAAGGUAACGGCUUACCAAGGCGACGAUGCAUAGCCGAGUUGAGAGACUGAUCGGCCACAUUGGGACUGAGACACGGCCCAAACUCCUACGGGAGGCAGCAGUAGGGAAUCUUCCACAAUGGACGCAAGUCUGAUGGAGCAACGCCGCGUGGGUGAAGAAGGUUUUCGGAUCGUAAAGCUCUGUUGUUGGUGAAGAAGGAUAGAGGUAGUAGCUGGCCUUUAUUUGACGGUAAUCAACCAGAAAGUCACGGCUAACUACGUGCCAGCAGCCGCGGUAAUACGUAGGUGGCAAGCGUUGUCCGGAUUUAUUGGGCGUAAAGCGAGCGCAGGCGGAAAAAUAAGUCUAAUGUGAAAGCCCUCGGCUUAACCGAGGAACUGCAUCGGAAACUGUUUUUCUUGAGUGCAGAAGAGGAGAGUGGAACUCCAUGUGUAGCGGUGGAAUGCGUAGAUAUAUGGAAGAACACCAGUGGCGAAGGCGGCUCUCUGGUCUGCAACUGACGCUGAGGCUCGAAAGCAUGGGUAGCGAACAGGAUUAGAUACCCUGGUAGUCCAUGCCGUAAACGAUGAGUGCUAAGUGU
rnacentral:rRNA from 1 species